GGCCACGUGUUUAUUACCAAGAGCAGACAUCCGGCCGAAGAUAGAUGGAAUUCCAAUUAAGUAACCCUCGUUGGAGUCGCACCCCAUCACAUACCGUUUACUCCUCCUCUCUCCCUCUCUGUGUCCAGUAACUUACAGAAAUGGACGAAUGCUUGGGAUGUUAAAGAUUUUGUAAUGAUUUCAAGGCUCGCCCUGAUCGAUUCUUAAUUAGAGAUCUCACUCAUAGAUGGUUGCAGAUGUUUUUCAAUUAUAUAUGCUGUGUGAGUGUGAUCCAGGUUGUUUCUAAGAUCUAAUGCUGUUUGAUUUCUUCAGUCUUAUAUCGACAUGAUUACCAAAACGCUGGAAAGUAGACUAAUUCUCCGGAUAUUUUUUUUCAAUACAUUGCUAAUUAGUAAUUACCUUUGUUUUAUUUAUCUGUAACAUCAUCUACUAUGAAUAAUUCUUUUCAGCCCAAGAUUUUGCUUUUCUACCCGUGUUCCAGUUUCCUAUCUCAAUGUCUACAAGUAAUUCCCUGCACUCUAUAUUUUUUUUUCAAGGAAACGGCAAUUUGCGCUGGUAUGGUCUUCCUGAUGGCCAGUGGGAGGUCAGCGAUACACCUAGUGAAGCAUCUCCUCGAAAUUUACCAAAAUCUCCGUUUAUUAACUUUGUUAGAGAUGUGAUGCCUGAGAAGAACUGAUUAACUUUUGUUGCUCGAAGAAGUGAAGCGUGGUUGGAUGCUGCCGCUCACUAUUUUUCCGGCAGAUCUGGAUUAGCUACCGGUGACAGGAGGCUGGAUAUUCAAAGACCAAGGAGGAAUGCUCGUGCAAGAGAGCUCGCCAUUGAUUGUGAAGAAGGGAAUCUAGAUGUGCUCUACAAUGCUACAUUUCUUAAAUGGGUUUAUGUACUAUCUCAGAACUUUUGUGCCAAAACACAAAGUCAUUUUCCAGUAUAAUAUCAUGCUUCUAGACUCCAAUGUAACAAGUGUCUUCAUGAAGACACUAUAUAUAUCUUCCUUUGAUGCAGUGGGAAAUGACCAUAAUGUUAUAUUAUUUUGUUACAAAUGGGAAUGAUUAGAACAUGGGUUUGUGCUUGACGAUAUAA